GAGUUUGAUCCUGGCUCAGGAUGAACGCUAGCGGCAGGCCUAACACAUGCAAGUCGAGGGGUAACAGAAAAAAGCUUGCUUUUUUGCUGACGACCGGCGCACGGGUGCGUAACGCGUAUGCAACCUACCCUGUACUGGAGGAUAGCCCGGAGAAAUCCGGAUUAACACUCCAUAGUAUCAUUCUAUCACCUGAUAGAUUGAUUAAAGGUUACGGUACAGGAUGGGCAUGCGUCCCAUUAGCUAGAUGGUAAGGUAACGGCUUACCAUGGCUACGAUGGGUAGGGGGCCUGAGAGGGUGAUCCCCCACACUGGUACUGAGACACGGACCAGACUCCUACGGGAGGCAGCAGUGAGGAAUAUUGGACAAUGGAGGCAACUCUGAUCCAGCCAUGCCGCGUGCAGGAAGACUGCCCUAUGGGUUGUAAACUGCUUUUAUUUGGGAAUAAACCUCCUUACGUGUAGGGAGCUGAAUGUACCAAACGAAUAAGGACCGGCUAACUCCGUGCCAGCAGCCGCGGUAAUACGGAGGGUCCAAGCGUUAUCCGGAAUCAUUGGGUUUAAAGGGUCCGCAGGCGGAUUUGUAAGUCAGUGGUGAAAUCCUACAGCUUAACUGUAGAACUGCCAUUGAUACUGCAAGUCUUGAAUUCGGUCGAAGUGGGCGGAAUAUGUCAUGUAGCGGUGAAAUGCUUAGAUAUGACAUAGAACACCGAUAGCGAAGGCAGCUCACUAGGCCUGGAUUGACGCUCAGGGACGAAAGCGUGGGGAGCGAACAGGAUUAGAUACCCUGGUAGUC
rnacentral:rRNA from 1 species